CUUGCGGCCACAUCACAUUGAAACACCGAUUCCCGUACGAUCACCGAAGUUAAGCAACGUCGAGCCUGGUGGGUACCUAGAUGGGUGACCGCUUGGGAAUAACACGUGCUGUAAG
rnacentral:rRNA from 1 species